GGUGGCUAUAGCAUUGGGGCUCACCUCUUCCCAUCCCGAACAGAGAAGUUAAGCCCAAUUGCGCCGAUGGUACUGCAUUUAUGUGGGAGAGUAGGUCGCCGCCUU
rnacentral:rRNA from 1 species